CUGUAUCUUGUAGGUUUUUCCAUUUGGCUUUAACCUCAUCAGCUGCACAACAUACAGUAAAUAAUUUUAUUACACAACACCAUUUUCAACUAAAAACGGAAAGCUUUUUAUGCAUUUUGACCAUUCAAUUACACAACAAUGGAGUUUUGGGGGCUUUUGAAAACUGUUUGAAAGUCCAAAUUUUUGAAAACUGUAAGCUGUAUAAGUAAAAAUAUGUAUAUGAAAUUACAUAAUAUCUAAUUAUUGCCUCACUCUCAAGUACUGAGGUAUGAAUUAUAGAAACAGGUAGUAGUUGCUUUUUAUGCCUAGAUGUUCUUGUGCACAGAAAUCUGUAACGUCCGCCUGAGGGCAGAAGUGCAAACAGGUUGUGGCCGGGGUGAGAGGGGUCUGUGAUGAUGUUACCUACCCCUUUCUUCACUCUGGAGAUGAACAAGUCCUGAAGGUUGUGCAGGUGCACCCCAGUUAUCCUUUCAGCUAUCCUAACAGUCCGUUGCAAUCUUCUUAUGUCUGAUUUGCUAGUUGACCCAAACCAGACCGUUAUAGAAGUGCAGAGAACCGACUCAAUAACAGCUGAGUAAAACUGUCAUUUGUGCCUGUGGCAGGUUGAACUUUCUCAGUUGACAAAGAAAGUACAACCUCGGUUGGGCCUUUUUCUCAAUGGAGUUAAUGUGAUUGUCCCUCUUCAGGUCCUGAGAGAUGGUGGUGCCUAGGAACCUGAAUGACUCCGUUGCUUCCACUGUGCGGUUCAUGAUGCUAAGUGGGGGGAGUGCAGGGGUGUUUCUCCUAAAGUCGACUAUCAUCUAUCAUUUCCACAGUUUUGAGCGUGUUCAGCUCCAGGUUGUUAUGACUGCACCAGAAAUCCAGCUGCUCAACCUCUUGUCUAUAAGCAGACUCAUCACUGUCUUGGAUGAGGCCAAUGACUGUGGUGUCAUCUGCAAACUUCAGAAGAUUGACAGAGGGGUCUUUAAAGGUGCUGCAUCUGUGUAGCGGGAGAAGUGCAGUGGGGAGAGCACACAUCCCUGAGAAGCACCAGUGCUGAUGGUGACGGUCCUAGAUGUGAAUUUUCCCAGCAUCACUAGUUUAUUUAGGAGUGUAUCCGGGACAAUGGUAUUGAAAGUGGAGCUGAAAUCCAUAAACAGGAUCCUUGCCUAAGUCCCUGGUUUUUCCAGAAGUUGCAGGAUGUAGUUUAGUCCCAUGUUGACUGUGAUGUUUUUGUCAUGGCAACAGAUGUCACAGCAACAGGUCUGUUGUCAUUUAGUCCUAUGAUUUUUUGUUUUUUUUGGGUACAGAGAUGAUGGUGGAGAGUUUGAAGCAGGAGGGGACUUCAAACAGCUCCAGUGAUCUGAGACAGGCUGGAUCCCAGUGAUUGCCCCCCAUCCUGCAGAUGUAAUGUAAAGUGCUGACAGCUGUGGCCAAUGUGCACCGAGCGUGUGUGAGAGCGUUCUAACCAAGCAGAAACCCAAUAUCUCUGUGAAAUGACCAGUGGAUUAAGAACGUUUGAUAAGCCUUUCAGACGUUUCUAUUUGCUUAAGAGCAUGUGGGAAAAAGCAUUUAAGUGGACCGUGGGUGACCACUGAACUGAAGAAAUGAGAAACAAAAGUUUUUCACAAUAGUUUCACUGAACUAUUUAUUUGAAGUAUUGCUAGGUUGGUUUGGGUUACACUGGUGCAAGUUGUUUUGGAGCUUUUUUAAUUGGAUUCAAUAUUUAUUAUUAUUUAAUAAAUAAACACCCAAUCUGUCUAUA